rnacentral:rRNA from 1 species
UCGGGAAUAUUGCGCAAUGGAGGAAACUCUGACGCAGUGACGCCGCGUGCAGGAAGAAGGUUUUCGGAUUGUAAACUGCUUUAGACAGGGAAGACACAAGACAGUACCUGUAGAAUAAGCUCCGGCUAACUACGUGCCAGCAGCCGCGGUAAUACGUAGGGAGCAAGCGUUAUCCGGAUUUAUUGGGUGUAAAGGGUGCGUAGACGGGAGAGCAAGUUGGUUGUGAAAUCCCUCGGCUUAACUGAGGAACUGCAACCAAAACUACUUUUCUUGAGUGCUGGAGAGGAAAGUGGAAUUCCUAGUGUAGCGGUGAAAUGCGUAGAUAUUAGGAGGAACACCAGUGGCGAAGGCGACUUUCUGGACAGUAACUGACGUUGAGGCACGAAAGUGUGGGGAGCAAACA